CAUUAGCCACGGUAAUACGUAGGGUGCAAGCGUUAAUCGGAAUUACUGGGCGUAAAGCGUGCGCAGGCGGUUAUAUAAGACAGAUGUGAAAUCCCCGGGCUCAACCUGGGAACUGCAUUUGUGACUGUAUAGCUAGAGUACGGCAGAGGGGGAUGGAAUUCCGCGUGUAGCAGUGAAAUGCGUAGAUAUGCGGAGGAACACCGAUGGCGAAGGCAAUCCCCUGGGCCUGUACUGACGCUCAUGCACGAAAGCGUGGGGAGCAAACAGGAUUAGAUACCCCCGUAGUCCCUGUCUCUUAUAC
rnacentral:rRNA from 1 species